UACGAAGGGGGCUAGCGUUGCUCGGAAUCACUGGGCGUAAAGCGCACGUAGGCGGCUUCUUAAGUCAGGGGUGAAAUCCUGGAGCUCAACUCCAGAACUGCCUUUGAUACUGAGGAGCUUGAGUCCGGGAGAGGUGAGUGGAACUGCGAGUGUAGAGGUGAAAUUCGUAGAUAUUCGCAAGAACACCAGUGGCGAAGGCGGCUCACUGGCCCGGUACCGACGCUGAGGUGCGAAAGCGUGGGGAGCAAACAGG
rnacentral:rRNA from 1 species